ensembl:lncRNA
CUAGCUAGCAAAUACAGUAUUCUGAGCAAGCAGACUCCAAAGAUAAGAGGGAGCCAGCAUUUAUUUACCUGGGAAAGGUGUCCUGGGCAAAGGAGCCAGCAAGGCAAGAGCCCUGGCGGGGGCAAUAUCAAACUGAACAACCGACAGAAAAGAGGGCAGAGAGGAUGCCAGGUGGAAAGUUGCCCUAGGGUGUUAGCAAACUGAGACACCCAGCAGAUUCCAGGCACAAACACACUGGAGACCUUCCCCAUGCCACACCUGGAGCCCAAGGCCACCUGGGAUGCAGACAGGAUGAACAGGUGGAACCACACCAGGAAAUGUUCUCUAGGAGUGCAUCAGAACUGUUAAGCUGGCGAAUAGGAACAGGUGACUUGCAAAGGCGGCAGAGUACUUUGAGAUGGCGGGGGGGCGGAGAGGAGAAGAAGAAGAAGGAGGAGGAGGAGGAGGAAAGAAGAAGAAGAGAGGAAAGAAGGAAGGAAGGGGGAGAGAGAGAGAAAGAAUUGGAAUUUUGUUUUUGCUUGGCCUCAGUGUACCCCCCAGGAACAUGUCAUUUGAAUCAACUACCUGCC